rnacentral:rRNA from 1 species
GUGGGGAAUAUUGGACAAUGGGCGCAAGCCUGAUCCAGCAAUGCCGCGUGGGUGAAGAAGGUCUUCGGAUCGUAAAGCCCUUUCGACAGGGACGAUGAUGACGGUACCUGUAGAAGAAGCCCCGGCUAACUUCGUGCCAGCAGCCGCGGUAAUACGAAGGGGGCUAGCGUUACUCGGAAUUACUGGGCGUAAAGGGCGCGUAGGCGGCUCUGUUAGUCAGGCGUGAAAUUCCUGGGCUUAACCUGGGGACUGCGCUUGAUACUGCAGAGCUUGAGGCCGAGAGAGGGUGGUGGAAUUCCCAGUGUAGAGGUGAAAUUCGUAGAUAUUGGGAAGAACACCGGUGGCGAAGGCGACCACCUGGCUCGGUUCUGACGCUGAGGCGCGACAGCGUGGGGAGCAAACAGGAUUAGAAACCCGUGUAGUCC